rnacentral:lncRNA from 1 species
AUGUCUGUCAUGUGCAGACCUUUCUACUUGCCCAGAGAACUGCCUGCAGUGCUAAUAACAGCAGUCUACAUACCACCAGACGCUAAUGCUAGCUCAGCCCUUGCAUACCUGCACGACAUUAUCUCCGAACAGCAACGGACAUACCCAGAGGGAGUACACAUCAUUGCAGGGGAUUUCAACAGAGCAUGCUUAAGAACUGUGCUGCCUAAAUUUGUACAACAUGUGAAAUGCCCUACGAGAGGAAAUAACACCUUGGAUCAUGUUUACUCAAAUAUUAAGCAAGCCUACAGAUCUGUUCCCCUCCCCCACCUGAGCAUGUACGACCACCUCUCCAUACUCCUUGUCCCGGCAUACACACCACUCAGGAAAAGGACAAAGCACACCAUCAGAACCAUUAACACCAUUUCUGAGGAAGCUCUCACUCAAUUGCAGGACUGUUUUGCUCUCACAGAGUGGAGUGUCUUUGAACAGGAUGACCUAGAGACUCACACAACCGCAGUGCUGGGUUACAUCAAACACUGCAUGGACACUGUCACCACAGAAAAGCGGGUCCGGGUCUACCCCAACCGUAAACCCUGGAUGACAAGCAAGGUUCAGGCACUGUUAAAGGCACGCAACUCUGCAUACAAAUCUGGGGACCAGGACAUGUACAGCAGAGCAAGAGCAGACCUUAAAAAAGGCAUCAGAGCAGCAAAACUGGACUACUCAAACAAGCUAUCAGAUCACCUCUCUGAUAACAACUCCAGGAAGGUAUGGGAGGGCCUGAAACACAUCACCAAUUACAAAGCCAAUGGGACAAAUAUAGAUAACAUGGACAUCUCGUUAGCGGAGGAACUUAACCACUUUUUUGCCCGCUUCGAGAAAACUGCAGUCACCCCCCCCAUGCACACCACCCUGCCCACAGCGUCCUCUGAGCACAGCCCCCACACAUUUAGCCUCCAACAACAUCAGGUCCGCAAUGUGUUCAGAGCAGUAAAUCAGAGGAAAGCUGCUGGCCCUCGACGGAAUACCUGGUAG